rnacentral:rRNA from 1 species
UACGAAGGGGGCGAGCGUUGUUCGGAAUUACUGGGCGUAAAGCGUGCGCAGGCGGUGCACCAAGCUCGAUGUGAAAGCCCCGGGCUUAACCUGGGAAUUGCAUUGAGGACUGGUGUGCUCGAGUGCGGCAGAGGGGGGUGGAAUUCCACGUGUAGCAGUGAAAUGCGUAGAGAUGUGGAGGAACACCGAUGGCGAAGGCAGCCCCCUGGGCCGACACUGACGCUCAUGCACGAAAGCGUGGGGAGCAAACAGG